rnacentral:lncRNA from 1 species
GCCAACUUCCUUUACAGCCUGGUCUUCAUACCAACCAGAGAAAACAUCGCUGUCCGCCCAGCGCUGACGAGCAUGAGCUGCGAGACUGGGAAAGAGGAAGUGGAGACAGGGGAUGGGCAGGUCCUCUAACGGGACCAGCUUUGUCUGAAGGAGUAACGGUUGCUACAGUUUUGAGAAACAUGAAUUUAUCAAGGCAAAUAAUACAGCAUUCACACAAACAAUGAUGGGGUUUGAUUUAGGCUCAAGAAGUCGGGACUCUGCGUUGAGUCGAGCUCCCAGGACCGCCCACGGUUAUCUCUGCCUACGUGCACACGUGACCCGUGUGUGCUCCACACACGCACAGGAGUUGUUUCAUUUCCUUCUUGCAUUUGUGUGGGUGUGUUUAAUUACACUUUACAUCAAUGUGAGAAGCAGCGGGGCAGCGUACAUUUGCCAUCAUCUCUACUUCCCGGCUCUGGGGUUCUGGGUGAGCUCUUCGUCCCAUCUGGGCCCGAUUUCUUCAUCUGUAAGGUCAACAAGUUUCUGGGGUCUGUGGCUCCCCUCAAGUUAAUGCUGUAAAUGACAUUGUUGAGCUGUCUUUUCCAGUCUACGAAGAAGCUCCGUAUUCCAUGUCGUUUCCUCCUCGAUGCAAUCCCGGGAGUUGGCAAAGCAGCGGGAAGCGGUCCUACCGCGUCUGUGAAGAACCGAAAGAGCACUUUCUGAGUGCUGUCUGCAGCCUGCGCUGCACAUGAGAGCCACCUGGGGGGCCUUUUCCUGUCCGGUGUCCAGCCACACACCUGACCAGUUACAUCGCCAGUGGCAGUGAGGCUGGGGACCUCUGCAUCAGAGCCUUGGUUCUGACGAUAAAUACAACUGGAGCCUUCUGAGCUUUAACAUCCAUCUCCCAAACCCCUACGAGAUAAGCGAGAUGCUUUCCAACUGAAGCCGUUCUCAAUUGAUGAGCGGGGCCCACCAAAGAACGUGCAGGUAGUUCCAGGGCCACCUAUCAAUUUGCAGGUCAGACUGACCCAGAUCCCAUACUUAGAGGACAAUAACACAGAGGUUUUCCCAAUAUGGAUGUCAGCCCCCACCAUGGGACGGGCUGAGAAAGGCCUUCCGCCACCGUCUUCGGGAAGCCCCGGUCCCCAACCGCUCCCUCACUGGGGGUCCUCCGGCUCCUACUCCAGAGCUCAUCCUUAGAGAGACGCCUCGGGUGCACGUCAUCUGCGUUUCUGCUCACACCGUCACAAAGCCCCAGAUGAGGAAAUGAACACUGCUGCGAACACUGAACGAUGGAUUCCAAGCACAUCUCACCAAGAACACGCUUCACAGUAGCCAUGCAACAAAUGACUGUGCAUAAUCUAGGAACUACUUUGCUGUUUCUUUGGUAUGUGUGUUUGUUACUGAAAGGCUUCCAGCCCUGGUCUGAUGUCUACUUUGAAGAAACCUGGAUUAAGCAGGGGCACUUAUGAAGAAGUGGCAAAAGACAGUGGAUCUAACACGUAAGACAAGGAGAACAUGUUUAGUUAUAAAAAGUAAACCGAAAUGUCAAACUUUUCUAUUUCUCAUAUAGAUCAUACUUUAUCCUGUAAUGAUGCAAAAGUGUUGAUUCAUUUCUAGUGCAAAAAAAAAUGCCACUUUUAAAGUGGAAUAUUUUGAAAGGUGUGUUAAAAUUACUCUCAAAUCUCUUUUAGACACUGGCUGAUGAGCGUUUUCAUGGUAGAAGCUGGAGUUACCCCACCAACCUUGCUGAUGUGAGGUUUAUGAAAGCUUAUAGAAGCGAUGGCUCACUGGUGGCUUCAGUGCACGGAGUCCCAGCGUCAGAUACAAACGCUGGAUAAAUGGCUCACUGCCCUAAAGUGCCAUCUGAUGCCACCACCUGGAAUACAGCUGCUAAUUAGAAGCUUGGUGGAAACACAUGUUGGAGAAGAUAAAAGUAAAACACAAGGGCCAAGGGGGGGUGCUUGGAGUCCCGUUUCCUUAAACGCCGGUGUGAGGUCCUUCAGCAGUGCCUCGGACACCUGCCGUUGAGCAGGGUUCGUCUCUGAUGGGACUCCUCGACGUGAGUUGGCCUGAGGUGGGUGUUCCCGUCUGUGAAUGAAUUCCUGUGCAGAGCCAGUCAAACGCAGCCUGGAUGCCGUGUUUGCUCAAUGCCAACAGUGCUGUCAACAAGGCCUGGUGACGCCUGAAAGAUGCAAAUGGAAACCUCAUCUCUCACUUCUGGCUUUAGUCAGUGGCUGCCCACACUCGGAUUACCCCUUGGCAAGUGCUCUGGCGCAGAGGUGUUACUCUGUGGGAAACUUUGAUGACAGGCAUCAAACGGGCCAAAUGUUACCUCCAACAAGAAAGGGCGGGCAGGUAGAACGCAGUACUGUGGGCAGAGGGGGUCCCAGCUAUGUGUCAGGUCUUGGCUCACAUGUCAAUGACAACGGCCUUCUCAGCUGCCCCCUUGCCCUGUGGGACUCAGGUCUGCUUGUCAUCCUCUUCCACAGCACCCUCUGCUUUUCCUUCAGAGCACCCAGCACAAAUUGCAACCAGAAUGAGUUGUGAUCACCUGCACCAGUAGUGUCACCUCCAUGAGUUGCCCGACUGCAGGGGCUCGGGGUCUUGUCCGUUCUUUCUGCACUACUGUCUACACAACACAUGAGCACACGGAGGCCCUCCGGAGCUUCCUGGAGGAAGGCCCAGGGAUGCCUUGGACAAACCGCAUACCUCGAGAAACGUUGUGUCUUGCCAGUCCUAUUUCUGAGCCCUCAAUGACGGGAUUCUGUUCUUGAAAUAAUAAAAAAAAAAAUGAUGAUAACGUACUGAGUUGUGCGAUAGGAUGCAUGUUAUCCACUCACAAGCCCUUACAGAAUCUGCCAGACUAAGGAGUGGGCGAGAUGGUCACCCGCAGGGAGAGAUUGGCAUGGAUGGAAAAGAAACUAAAGUGAAACUCUGUGGACUUGUCACACUGGGCAUCACAUGGUGUGUCUGAGCCAACGCUGGCCCGACAUCUGCAUCCGGCAGCCACUGGGUUCUCCACCUCCGAGCAAAGGCUGGUGAGCGCCUGCCAGAAGGAUGCUGAGGGAUCGAGCUGAGCGUUCUGUCUGCCUUUCACAGUAGAAAUCCACAAUGAGGCUGAGAAUGUUUAAAACAACUAAAAUAAGCAUGUAGGAAAGAACUAUACGUUUCAAUAAAAAGUGAUUUAGAGACAUUCUGUACCAGAAAUUCCUGUCCAAAAGAAACAGGAUACACGGAAAAGUGGAGCCCUACUGUUUACUUGGAGAGCAAGAUCAGGUUGGCGUGUGGAAUGCAGCUGUGCGUGGGGAGUCCAAUCACUGUGGCCAUUUUAACCAUCAAGAUGAAUCGCUGCCCGAUGAUGCCUUCUGAAGUGAUCAAUAUCAAUUUUCAAGGCAGCUGAAACAUCCCCAUCAGCCAUACGGUGGCCGGGCUCAGUGUGCCACGUGGAUCCAGCUUCUCAGCUAAGGUGAAAUGGAGGAACACACAACUGCUCGGGGCAUCGCGGCCACGGAGGCGGGAAUCUGGGUCACAAGGAUCUUGCUCCGUAUGGUAGGUUUUCUAUGCCUGGGCCAUUUCCUUGGCUCACCUCUUUAUCUUCAUAAACACAGCUUAAGUGGGUCAGUUCUCAACCAUGGGAUGUGGAAAUCAAGCCUUCUCAUUUGUUCCAGACUCGUGCAGCAGAGCAACCAGGAGGCUGCACUGUGCAUGGGCAGUUGGGCUGUGUGUACAAGUGUGGGAGUGUGCUUGUGUGUGUAUGAAGGCGAGUGUGUAGGGUGUAAGAGUAUACACAGGAGUGUGAGUGAAUGUGAGAGUAGGUGUAUAUGAAUGUGUGAAUGUUUGUAUAUGAAUGUGUGUAUAUGAACGUAAGUGUGAGUGCUGAGUGUGAGUGUGCCCACGCGCUCUUGGAGAAGCCCGUGGUGGGGGAAGGGCUCAGCCCACGACACAGGCAGCAGAAUGACUUCUUGCACUGCAGUUAAUGCUCAGUGAUCUGAGGCUUGACUCCCAGUUAGCAAGAUGACCCAGGGUCCUUCCUCCUCUGCUCUGUCUGCCUUUCAGCAAUUUUGCUGCUAUUUGAUAUCUUCACAGGUAUGUUGAUGGAAGAAAAAGAAAGAAAUUAUUUCUGAGUAAGAUGGGGGAGUGGAAGUUGAACCUUUUGGCUAAAAUUAGGCGAGAAGCUUAUCAGCGGCUCAGCAUAAGAGCAAGAAGCUUAAGUGACUGGCUUUGCUUCUGCACCAGGUCAAGGAGCCCCUCUUUUUGGUUUCUCUAGCACAAAGGUUUGUCAAAUAAAUGUAUUUCUCUGCAUUUAAGCAGUUAUUAUUUCCCCUAACAUAGCAGACAAACAUUAACCCCAGAGCUGGCGCGAAAUAAGAAGGUUAUGAUGGAAUAGCACUUUGCGAGGGGAGCACUUGCACCUACGGCACAGCGGAUGGAAGCAUCUAUCUUCCAGGACGGCAACUUCAGCCACCUGCAGGGCAGCUCCGCCCGCCUCCCUUGUGCUGGGGCACCGAAGGAGGGCGCUGCGCGGCACUCUGCACUGCGCUUCCGGGGGCACGGCCGCUGUGAGGCCAGCCUUCGCCCUUCACGCGGUCAGGAGGGCGCUGCGCGGCACUCUGCACUGCGCUUCCGGGGGCACGGCCGCUGUGAGGCCAGCCUUCGCCCGCCUCCCUUGUGCUGGGGCACCGAAGGAGGGCGCUGCGCGGCACUCUGCACUGCGCUUCCGGGGGCACGGCCGCUGUGAGGCCAGCCUUCGCCCUUCACGCGGUCAGGAGCCCAGCAGAAAGAAGAGAGAUGGAAGGAAAUUCCUAAUUCAGAGUUAAGAGGAGGGAAAUCUGAGUGUCUAAAUUGAAGUUCUGCUGCUCAUUUUCUCAGUAGGCCUGGAGUGAGCCCGCGAGUCCACGUUCCUGACCAGCUCCUGGUGUGUGGGCCACACAGAGCGAGGAAGGAGAUCCCUCGGUUGAGAAUCCAACAGAUGACCAGCCGAGGGGACGAAAUGGACAGUUACCAGGCAAGGCCUUCAGAAACCUCUAGAUGCGGGACGCAGAGUGUUCUCGGGACUCACGCACAUACCAUCAGAUUGGUGGGCUCCAUGCUCGCACUUCCCGUUGCCGUUUUAACCAUUCUCUGAUCUUGUCCGGAUUUUGAACAUCUCUCAGAGGAGAGGGGCAUUUCCUGGGACCAACAAACAUCCAAAUUAACCAUUGCCAGACCACCCACCAUGAUUCAUGCUAAGGUCACUUAGCGAACAAAGAAGAAAGACUGAAAAAGCCAAUUCACUGCUGCCAAGGAGGGUGUGUGCAAGGAGCUGCACAGUAUGAACACCAAAGCUUCAACGUGAGUCAUCACUGAUUCACCACCUUCAUUUUCUUCUUGAUGCUUAAAUUGUGUUCUCAAAGGCCAGCUCCUCCGAAACAACAGAUCCAAACUGCUGGCAACAUUUACAGCCUGUGGCAUUUCAGUUGAAGUGACAGAGCCAUACUUAAACAUUGGAAAUUGAAAAUAAUCUCUUCAAAUGACAGAUCCUUGCCUUUUGUUACAACGACCAUGUCCUUUAUAUUUCUUUACUUUAGGACUUUCUCUUCAUGUUAACAAUCAAGUGAUUACCAUAUUAAGGUUGCUGCAGUGUGCAAAUGGUUAUAAAAUAAAUGCAAACAAUAAUAAAUAUUCUUAUUGCUCUUCUUGUUACUAUUCCAAUAGUGGUAAAUCUGGGCCAUUCUUGACUGCUAUACAAGAAACAAGGUGAGACGAAAAGGAAGUCCUCGACAGUUUGCCCUAUUUUGGCUGCUUACGAUCGGACGCUCACGAGGCCAAGAUCAUAGGCUGAAUUUUCUUAUGGGCGCUGUGACUACAUAUCCCAUAUUUUUCUGAGACAGUCAUAAUUCCAGAUAUUGUUUUGUUAUUUUCAUCCAUUCAAGUUGGUCAGGCCAUGAGUCUCCAUUUGUUAUUGGAUGUCUUAUCUAAAGAUAUGUACCCCUGGGCAAGGAGGUGUGUCACAUCUUUCAUCUAGAAGCCUCAUGAGAGAGUGUGGAUCAAAGCAAGUCUGUCCUCACCAGCUUCGGGGACAUCCUAGUGGCGCAUCCAUGGUGCCAUCUUCCCGUGUAAGAGAGAAGUUUGCAGUAAAGGUGUGGUGAGUGGGAUGUUUAAGUGGUGAAUAAGUGAAGUAAAAAACUACUUUCUUUGUGAAGUCUAGGUGCUGAAGUUUUUCAUAUUCCUUUAAAUAUUUUGAACUUUAUUCUGGGACACAGUUAAAUUACUUGGAAACAUUUGAUCCUUUUGGAUCCAGCCUUCAAGCUCUGUUAGGCAGGACCAGAACAGUGCCGAGUCCAGGGCCAAUUUGGCCUCACUUCUAAGACAAUACCCCCAAGUACUCAGUGCUCCGUGCAUCAUGACGUUUCUCCACUCUGCUGUGGGAAACAUGAACUAUUCCCAGCCCUGCAUGCGAGCUCUGAGAAUUUUUCCAUCUGAUCCUUUCUGGUGGUUUUUCCUCGGUUUUGCGUAGUUUCCUGACGUGCAUGUUCUGGUCAAUACUCAGCCGAAACCUUGAGAUGGAGCCUCUGCAGACUGCUCCUGUGCGUCUUUCUCCCCUCUGGUACUCCACCCUGAGAAUUCUAGCUGCCUCAGCCUCCCCGAAUUCUCAACUCUGUCUCCUCAACUAAGGAGACCACCGGGGGCUUGGGUUCCCCCUCCUUGCACUGUGGCCUGUCCCCCUCUGCAGGCAGAAAACUGGGGCAGCUGUGGGGCCCGCCCUGUUUCUUUCCCUUCUCACAAGGAUCACUGUCCUGCAGUGCUUAUUGUCCAAUGUCUGAAAGCC